rnacentral:rRNA from 1 species
GAGUUUGAUCAUGGCUCAGGACGAACGCUGGCGGCGUGCUUAACACAUGCAAGUGGAGCGACGAACCAGGGCUUGCCCUGGGGCAGAGCCGCGAACGGGUGAGUAACACGUGGGUUACCUGCCUCGAUGACCGGGACAACCCGAGGAAACUCGGGCUAAUACCGGAUGUGCCCGCAAGGGGAAAGGAAGCUUCGGCCUCCGCAUCGAGAUGGGCCCGCGGCCCAUUAGCUUGUUGGUGAGGUAAAGGCUUACCAAGGCUUCGAUGGGUAGCUGGUCUGAGAGGACGAUCAGCCACACUGGGACUGAGACACGGCCCAGACUCCUACGGGAGGCAGCAGUGGGGAAUCUUGCGCAAUGCGCGAAAGCGUGACGCAGCAACGCCGCGUGGGGGAAGAAGGCUUUCGGGUUGUAAACCCCUUUCAGUUGGGACGAAGCUUCGCCGGUGAAUAGCCGGUCGGAGUGACGGUACCGUUCACAAGAAGCACCGGCUAACUACGUAGCCAGCAGCCGCGGUAAC